rnacentral:rRNA from 1 species
AUUGAACGCUGGCGGCAGGCCUAACACAUGCAAGUCGAACGGUAGCACAGAGAGCUUGCUCUCGGGUGACGAGUGGCGGACGGGUGAGUAAUGACUGGGAAACUGCCCGAUGGAGGGGGAUAACUACUGGAAACGGUAGCUAAUACCGCAUAACGUCUUCGGACCAAAGUGGGGGACCUCCGGGCCUCACACCAUCGGAUGUGCCCAGAUGGGAUUAGCUAGUAGGUGGGGUAAUGGCUCACCUAGGCGACGAUCCCUAGCUGGUCUGAGAGGAUGACCAGCCACACUGGAACUGAGACACGGUCCAGACUCCUACGGGAGGCAGCAGUGGGGAAUAUUGCACAAUGGGCGCAAGCCUGAUGCAGCCAUGCCGCGUGUAUGAAGAAGGCCUUCGGGUUGUAAAGUACUUUCAGCGGGGAGGAAGGCGAUGUGGUUAAUAACCAUGUUGAUUGACGUUACCCGCAGAAGAAGCACCGGCUAACUCCGUGCCAGCCGCCGCCGUAA